UUUCUUUGCUAUGCAAAAAAUUACUUUCCUUAAACGGACUGAUUAAGUUACUCAAAAUCGUCACUUCAGGUUUUUUGAAUUGAUUGUGUCCUGCAGUUGGUGUGAAACAUGAAAUCGUGUAACACUGCAGCGUGAAGUGCCCAUGAAACCAGGAGCUGGGCAAUGUUGGUUCACCACACCUGUUCAGUAACAUCAUGGCACCUCACGCGGCUCAUCUCACUGUGCUGGGACUCCGCUUUCUGAUCGCUGAAGUGAGCAAACAGCCAUUCAUGUUGUUCGGCUGGUUAUUCUAGAGUAAAAGAUAUGAAACUUGGUCAAAAAGAUUAAGGGAUUUGCCUAAAGUCACAGUGCUCUGUACGAGUGAAAUCAGAUGGUUCUCCCACUAUGGUGGCAACUAAAAACUUCUCCCAUCCUGUUUCGGAUUCUACUCUACCUUUACUGGCACCAUCUCAUUGAAGAAAGCGUCUAUGAGGAUUCCACUGGAGUCUUGUGAACAUGAACACUACACUUGACACUCUAAGUUAGAGAGGCAAAAUGUGAUGUCUAAAAUCAUACAGCAAGUGCGGCAAAAUGUAGCAGAGACUUCAGAGUCUGAAAGACCUGGGUUCAAAAUCUGGCUCCACUAUUACCACUUUGGGUGAGUUACUUUGCUCCUCUAAGCCUCACUUUCCACGUCUGCAAAAUUGAUGUUUUUCUGGAAGGAUUUUGGAGAGGAUUCAAGGUGACAACAUAAAGGGAGAGUGAGCAGAAGAAGAUCCUUACUCGGUGCUUUGUAAGGGUGAGCUUCCUCUCCUUCCAGGGAUGUGGGGAAGCCGAGAUAGACGAGAGAU
rnacentral:lncRNA from 1 species